rnacentral:lncRNA from 1 species
CUCAGACCGUCCUUGAAAAUUCCUAAUCGGUACUCUCAGUAUGUUCUAGGAUUGGCAACCGGGGAUGCUGAGCGCUAGGCAAGCACUCACCUACUGAGCCACAUUCCCAGACCCCCUAGUGUUCUUAACAUUCCAUUCCCCCACCCUUCUAGAUGUAUCAUCAUUUCCUUCCCUUUGAGGAAGGCAGCGGGACUAGAACCUGAAAGAGUGAGGGAGAAACGAGAGGCACUUUUUCUGCAGUCAGGAACGUUUGAGCCAUUUGAGUCAAGGAAACUAUGUAGGCGCCGCCUAUGCACGAGUGUAUGGUUCUGCAUUCUCUGAGGCCCCAAAUCUCCAUCACACUGAGGCCUGCGAUAUGCCAAAGAAACCUUGGCGGCUCGGCCGCGGCUUGCUGUCUGAUGCAACAGUUUGCAACGCGGGUUCAGGGAGUGGAGGCCUGCGGUGCGGCACACAAGCUCGGCCGAAGCGCAUGCGCAGGCUGCGCCUUGCCCCGCCCCGCGGCGGGAAGCUUUUCUCCAGAUGUGCGGGGCGGGGAUGGGGGCGGAGCCAGAGGCGCAGAGACCUUUGGCAGCUCGCGCCUGCGAUCUGAGCUGAAUUAGACUUCGGAGGCAUUGGCUGACUGACCCAGUGAUCCAAAAAAAAAAAAAAAAAUCAGAGAGGCCGAAAUCGCCACAAACGUGCCUGGAGAGAGAAGUUGAAGAGCUAGCUGGCUUUUGAGUCGGCCUCCCUUUCCGAGCCUCCGGAUCUCUGAUGCUGUACCACCUGAACAUUUUAUUUGUGGGAGGGGACAAGUCACGUCAAUAUGUUCACAAAAAUUGCAGCUAUCACGAUUGUCUCCCAUAUUCACAUUGGUCCUGUAUUUUAGAUUUUAAUUGACUUUUAUUUUAUUAACUGUUUCUCUAAAUUAACUUUAAAUUGAUUCCCUUUUUUAUGUAUCCUUGCCUUAAGCGAUAACAUUAGAGAAACCACAGACUGAAAAUAAACUCAGAAUUACUGUCUCGAAAAACCAAAGAAAAAAAAUUGUUUUCUUGUUAGCUAAAAUUGGCUUACCUACCAUAUCGGGGGUGUCUAGCAGUAAUAAUAACCAUUGUAUUAAGGCUUUGUCAACAUUCCCAGGACUAGUCUAAACACUGAACACAUUCUAUUGCUUCAUGAUGCCCUAGGAAGUGUUUGUUUUCUACAUUUUUACAAGGAAAGGAAGGCCCAGAGAAGUUAAGAAAUUUGCCUGAGAUCACAGAGCCAGGAGGCAAACUCCAUUAGCCUGAUUCCAG